CCUACGGGAGUCUGCAGUGAGGAAUAUUGGUCAAUGGGCGAGAGCCUGAACCAGCCAAGUCGCGUGAGGGACGACGGUCCUAUGGAUUGUAAACCUCUUUUGUCGGGGAACAAAGGCGCCCACGGGUGGGCGGCUGAGUGUACCCGAAGAAAAAGCAUCGGCUAACUCCGUGCCAGCAGCCGCGGUAAUACGGAGGGUGCAAGCGUUACUCGGAAUCAUUGGGCGUAAAGAGGGCGUAGGCGGGAUAGCAAGUCAGAUGUGAAAUCCUAUGGCUUAACCAUAGAACGGCAUUUGAAACGGGUUUUCUUGAGGAGGGGAGAGGUAGGUGGAAUUCGUGGUGUAGGGGUAAAAUCCGUAGAGAUCAAGAGGAAUACUCAUUGCGAAGGCGGCCUGCUAGCACAUAACUGACGCUGAUGCGCGAAAGCGUGGGGAGCGAACAGGAUUAGAUACCCCUGUAGUC
rnacentral:rRNA from 1 species